AGAGUUUGAUCCUGGCUCAGGAUGAACGCUAGCGGUGUGCUUAAAGCAUGCAAGUCGAACGUGAUCCUUGGAUUCGUUCAAGGUGAAAGUGGCGAACGGGUGAGUAACGCGUUGGUGAUCUGCCCCGGAGUGGGGAAUAACUAUCGGAAACGAUAGCUAAUACCCCAGAUGUCUUCGUGUUUGGAAAGCGAUGACUAAAGUUCAGGCGCUCCGGGAGGAGCCUGCGUCCCAUCAGCUAGUUGGUAGGGUAAUGGCCUACCAAGGCACAGACGGGUAGGGGGCGUGAGAGCGUGGCCCCCCACACUGGUACUGACACACGGACCAGAUGCCUACGGGUAGCAGCAGCUAGGAAUAUUGGGCAAUGGGCGAAAGCCUGACCCAGCAACACCGCGUGAAGGACGACGGCCUUCGGGUUGUAAACUUCUUUUCGAGGGAAUGAGAAAGGACAGUACCCUCGGAAUAAGGCCCGGCUAACUACGUGCCAGCAGCCGCGGUAAUACGUAGGGGCCAAGCGUUAUCCGGAUUUACUGGGCGUAAAGCGCAUGUAGGCGGUUGACUAAGUCGGAUGUGAAAGCUCCUGGCUUAACUGGGAGAGGCCAUUCGAAACUAGUCGGCUGGAGGGUGGUAGAGGAGAGCGGAAUUCCAGGUGUAGCGGUGAAAUGCGUAGAUAUCUGGAGGAACACCAGUGGCGAAAGCGGCUCUCUGGACCAUUCCUGACGCUGAGAUGCGAAAGCCAGGGGAGAGAACGGGAUUAGAAACCCCGGUAUUCCUGGCCGUAAACGAUGUCAACUAGGCGUAGGAGGUUAUAAACCCCUUCUGUGCUGUAGCAAACGCGUUAAGUUGACCGCCUGGGGAGUACGGCCGCAAGGCUAAAACUCAAAGGAAUUGAC
rnacentral:rRNA from 1 species